GAUGAACGCUGGCGGUAUGCCUAAUACAUGCAAGUCGUGCGGAAAGGCCUCUUCGGAGGUACUCGAGCGGCGGACGGCAGAGUAACGCGUAGGAACAUACCCCCAAACUGAGGGAUAACUGCUCGAAAGAGUAGCUAAUACCGCAUGUGGUCUUCGGACUAAAGCUUCGGCGGUUUGGGAAUGGCCUGCGUUCGAUUAGCUAGUUGGUGAGGUAAUUGCUCACCAAGGCGACGAUCGAUAGCUGGUCUGAGAGGAUGAUCAGCCUGACUGGAACUGAGACACGGUCCAGACUCCUACGGGAGGCAGCAGUAGGGAAUUUUCCACAAUGGGCGAAAGCCUGAUGGAGCAAUACCGCGUGCAGGAUGAAGGCCUUCGGGUCGUAAACUGCUUUAUGUGAGAAGAAUUUGACGGUAACACAUGAAUAAGGGUCGGCUAACUACGUGCCAGCAGCCGCGGUAAU
rnacentral:rRNA from 1 species